AGCUAUGGCCAUACCACCCUGAACAUGCCCAAUCUCCUCUGAUCCCGGAAGCUAACCAGGUUGGGCCGGGUAAGUACCUGGAUGGGAGACAUUUCCACAGAUUUACACUGUCCUAAAUA
rnacentral:rRNA from 1 species